rnacentral:misc_RNA from 1 species
UUUCCGUAGGUGAACCUGCGGAAGGAUCAUUAAUGAAAAUUAUAAAAAAACGCCAAAGUGAAAUGUGCACGUGUGUUUUUUCAAUCUCUUUUUUUCAUUUUUUUUUGAUUUGAUUCUUUUUUUUUUAUAUAAAAAAAAAGAAGAGGAAAGAAUUAAAGUGAAAAAAAAAAGAGAUAUGAAAAAAUCAAAAAACUUUUAAAACCCUUUAUAAAAUAAAAUAUAGUUUGUCAAUUAUUAUUGUUUCUUUUUUUUUUCACAUGACUUUUAUCAAUUGAAAAAAAAGAGAGACGUAAAAUAUAAAAUGAAAAAAAAAACUUUUAACAACGGAUCUCUUGGCUCUC